UACGAAGGGUGCAAGCGUUGUUCGGAUUUAUUGGGCGUAAAGCGCAUGUAGGCGGACUUGAAAGUCAGAUGUGAAAACUCGGGGCUCAACCUCGAACGUGCGUCUGAAACUCCAAGUCUAGAAUGUCGGAGGGGGAAGGGGAAUUUCACAUGUAGGGGUAAAAUCCGUAGAGAUGUGAAGGAACACCUGAGGCGAAAGCGCCUUCCUGGACGACGAUUGACGCUGAGAUGCGAAAGCGUGGGGAGCAAACAGG
rnacentral:rRNA from 1 species